rnacentral:rRNA from 1 species
UAGAAUAUUAAUGGUCGAACAGACCAACCCUUAAAGACUUCUGCAUCUUUAGGACAUUCUGGUCCAACAUCGAGGUCACAAACUUCCUUUUCGAUAAGAACUCUCAAAGGAAAUAAUGCUGUUAUCCCUACGGUAACUAUUUUUUCUAAUCAGACUUUUCUGGAUCAAAAUCCAUAAAUUUUUUAAAAUAGAGGAGGCUUUAUUUACUCCUUAGUUGCCCCAACCAAAAUGUUUAACAAACACUUAUUUAGAAUAAUAAAAUAAUAUUUUGUUUAUUUUCUUUAAGCUCGAUAGGGUCUUCUUGUCUUUCAAUUUAAUUAGGGCUUUUUCACCCAAAAAUAAAAUUCUAAUAAAUUUUCCAGAGACAGUGAUAUUCUUGUCAAACCAUUCAUUCCAGCCUUCAAUUAUAAGGCAAAUGAUUAUGCUACCUUUGCACGGUCAGAGUACCGCGGCCGUUAAAAAGCUUCACCGGGCAGGCUCGACUUCAUAUACUACUAAACCAU